rnacentral:rRNA from 1 species
UGGGGAAUAUUGCACAAUGGGCGCAAGCCUGAUGCAGCGACGCCGCGUGAGGGAUGACGGCCUUCGGGUUGUAAACCUCUUUCAGCAGGGACGAAGCGCAAGUGACGGUACCUGUAGAAGAAGGACCGGCCAACUACGUGCCAGCAGCCGCGGUAAUACGUAGGGUCCGAGCGUUGUCCGGAAUUACUGGGCGUAAAGAGCUCGUAGGUGGUUUGUCGCGUUGUUCGUGAAAACUCACAGCUUAACUGUGGGCGUGCGGGCGAUACGGGCAGACUGGAGUACUGCAGGGGAGACUGGAAUUCCUGGUGUAGCGGUGGAAUGCGCAGAUAUCAGGAGGAACACCGGUGGCGAAGGCGGGUCUCUGGGCAGUAACUGACGCUGAGGAGCGAAAGCGUGGGGAGCGAACA